rnacentral:lncRNA from 1 species
GUACCACAUGGAGCUGAGAAGGACCAAUUCCCUUCCGCAAAUCGCUGAAAUGUUAAUGUGAACCUAGAGCAAAUGCCACAUUCCCUCCAGUCCUGGCAGCAGGUGUCAGCCUGUACCCCUGUGGUGGUCUCAGCGUUUCUCAGGCCAGCUUCUCUUCACACCCAUGACAACUGCACCCAACCAGGGACCACAGGAGCCACGGGCCUCCCCUGCCUGGGCCUCCCCAAGAGGUCAGCGUCAGAAUACACUACCAGAACACAUGGAUCCAGCCGAUACCUGCAGAAGCAGCGGCCAGAAAUUAGCAACCCAAACACCAGCACCACCUCAGACAGGACCUGGCACUGUCGUGACCACUUACUGAGGAUGCUCAAUGUACAGGCACAGGGAGGCUGUGCAGGGUGUGAGCCCUGUCCUGGCCUCAGGAGAGAGCCCAGGCCCCAGGGUCCAGCACCCACGAGCAAAAGACACGACCAAGGCCAUCUUCGUGCCAGGAUCACCAUGCUGCCUUCCCUCAAGAGGAGCCGAGACCAGGCCUUUCACACCCCACCCUGGCGCUCCUUCCCUGAGAGCUGUUCAUCUGCUUUGGUGCAUUCCCUUUAAGUCCCUGCUGUUGAGAUUCCCCUGCAGGACCUGGAGCAGGAGGAGCCCUCCAUGAUAAUGAGCAUCUGCUCAGGAAUCUGUUACCUUUGGGGCCCUGAAGAGGCCACAGCUGCUGCAAGGGUAAGAGGAGUGGGUCCUGUGUGGUGAGUGUCACUGGGAGGAGUGUGGCAGAGUGGGCAGGAUGGCGUUGUCACCUGACUGAGAUAAUUUCUGUUAAUGAAUUUGGCUCCAACCUCAAAUUUCUACCUCCUGAACUUCUUAAGUUUACCUUCUGUUUUACCAUCUUUUGGUUGUAGGAAAUGUACAGGUGCCUGGCUGUGGGUUGUGUUGCUUAGGUGUUCAGGUGCCUGUGCACCAUUCCCUUCCUUUCCUCUUGAGUUGGUGUGCACAAACAAGAAUGAAUGAGCUUGUUUGAUCCUGUCUUACCUCUUAGAGGUAAUUUUAAGUGUUUCUUGUUUAUUUUUAUGCUGUUUAUGCAAUUAUCAUAAAAAUAAAAAUUCUUAUCAC